GGAACCACCACCAAACGAAACAUAAACCCUUUGUAGGAAAUAUAUAUAGUUUAAAUUUUUACCUUUUUUAAGGUUUAUAGCUGGGCCCAAAGUUUCUAAAAGGUCUAUUCAGCCUCUGUGAGAAGCAACUGGGGUUAUUUUCGGAGAUGUAACCCAUGGGUAUUGAUAUACACCACGGCAUUCCUUGGUAGCCAAGCAUAGGGCUAAGAUGAGAACUAUUUGGCUACUUCUUAAUAUUUAAGUGGAUGAGCAGCAAACAUCUUUCUCCGUCUUCCUGAGCUCCAUUCUGCAAUUGCAGUGCAGCAGGACGACAGUGCAUUUACUGUGGCAUGCUGUUGGCCCCAUGCACUUCCCCCUUUCCCCCAUAGAUCUCGGCAGUGCCUUCUGCUUUGGUCCUGACAGGGUUCUGCAGGAUAUACACGAAGUAUGGCACCAACAUCUGCUUCUGGUGAAGGCUUCAUGAAGCUUCCACCCAUGACAGAAGGCGAAGAACUGUUGCCAGCAUCAUGCUACAAGCCUGAAGGGAAGGUCUACUGACAGAGAAGGACAGAGACCAGGGAAACACAGAAAAGGAGAGACAAAGCCUUGACAUACCAAACCAGUGCCUGGCCUACCUAUGGACUUCUCAAUUCCUUCAAUUAGAGUGCCUCUGAAAGACAGGGUGUAUUCCAGCUGGCAUUGGGACAACCUAAAGUUUAAACCUUUGGGUGAAAAAGUGCCAACUUGGGAGACAUAUUAUCAAGACUGAAUCAGAGAGUUGACAGCAUACCAGGAAGUGUCACUGUAUAGUUUGGAAGAUGGAAAUCAUACUACUUUUUUCCCAUGGAAUACGUCAAUGUUCAAAGGCUGAUAUUCAACCAGUUUAUUUCCUGCAACUGAAGAAGUACAAUGCCCUCCUGCUUAUCUGGCCUCAUUUUCUUUGCUUUGGAGAUGUAUGUUGGAAAACAAACUGAUGUAUUUUUCACAGUUGCAAAUAAA
rnacentral:lncRNA from 1 species